rnacentral:rRNA from 1 species
GAUGAACGCUGGCGGCGUGCCUAACACAUGCAAGUCGAACGGAGUCACGAGAGCCUGCUUUUGUGACUUAGUGGCGGACGGGUGAGUAAUGCGUGAGCAACCUGCCUUUCAGAGGGGGACAACAGUUGGAAACGACUGCUAAUACCGCAUAACGUAUCCGAGCGGCAUCGCCUGGAUACCAAAGGAGCAAUCCGCUGAAAGAUGGGCUCACGUCUGAUUAGCUAGUUGGUGGGGUAACGGCUCACCAAGGCUGCGAUCAGUAGCCGGACUGAGAGGUUGAACGGCCACAUUGGGACUGAGAUACGGCCCAGACUCCUACGGGAGGCAGCAGUGGGGAAUAUUGGGCAAUGGGCGAAAGCCUGACCCAGCAACGCCGCGUGAAGGAAGAAGUCUUCGGUUGUAACUUCUUUAUGAGGGACGAAAGACGUGACGGUACCUCAUGAUAGCCACGGCUACUACUGCCAGCAGCCGCGGUAUACUUAGUGGCAGCGUAUCCGAUUUACUGGUGUGUAGGGCGUAGCGGGAUGCAGCCAAGUGAAUCAUGGCUAACCUAACUGCAUUGACUGUCUUAUGCUGAGGUACGAUCUUUUGCGUAUGUAUGAACUGAGGCUAAUCUGCGGGCAACGAUGGC